CGAGGACGAACGCUGGCGGCGUGCCUAACACAUGCAAGUCGAACGGGGUUAUACCGAUUAAUCUUCGGAAGCGUUGAUAUAACUUAGUGGCGGACGGGUGAGUAACACGUGAGCAACCUGCCUUUCAGAGGGGGAUACCGUUUGGAAACGAACGUUAAUACCGCAUAACGUAUCGGUACCGCAUGAUACUGAUACCAAAGGAGCGAUCCGCUGAAAGAUGGGCUCGCGGCUGAUUAGAUAGUUGGUGGGGUAACGGCCUACCAAGUCAACGAUCAGUAGCCGGACUGAGAGGUUGAACGGCCACAUUGGGACUGAGACACGGCCCAGACUCCUACGGGAGGCAGCAGUGGGGAGUAUUGCGCAAUGGGGGCAACCCUGACGCCAGCAACGCCGCGUGUGGGAAGAAGGUCUUCGGAUUGUAAACCAUUGUCUUCGGUGACGAUAAUGACGGUAGCCGAGGAGGAAGCUCCGGCUAACUACGUGCCAGCAGCCGC
rnacentral:rRNA from 1 species